rnacentral:misc_RNA from 1 species
GAUGAAGAACGUAGCGAAAUGCGAUAAGUAAUGUGAAUUGCAGAAUUCAGUGAAUCAUCGAAUCUUUGAACGCACAUUGCGCCCGCCAGUAUUCUGGCGGGCAUGCCUGUUCGAGCGUCAUUUCAACCAUCAAGCCCCCGGCUUGUGUUGGGGACCUGCGGCUGCCGCAGGCCCUGAAAAGCAGUGGCGGGCUCGCUGUCACACCGAGCGUAGUAGCAUACAUCUCGCUCUGGGCGUGCUGCGGGUUCCGGCCGUUAAACCACCUUCAUAACCCAAGGUUGACCCCGGAUCAGGUAGGAAGACCCGCUGAACUUAAGCAUAUCAAUAAGCGGAGGA